rnacentral:rRNA from 1 species
UACGUAGGGUGCAAGCGUUGUCCGGAAUUAUUGGGCGUAAAGAGCUCGUAGGCGGUCCGUCACGUCGGCUGUGAAAACCUGGGGCUCAACCCCGGGCCUGCAGCCGAUACGGGCGGACUAGAAUUCGGUAGGGGAGACUGGAAUUCCUGGUGUAGCGGUGAAAUUCGUAGAUAUUAGGAGGAACACCCGUGGCGAAAGCGGCCAUCUGGAUCACAAUUGACGCUGAUGUACGAAAGCGUGGGUAGCAAACAGG